rnacentral:rRNA from 1 species
UACGUAGGGUGCAAGCGUUGUCCGGAAUUAUUGGGCGUAAAGAGCUCGUAGGCGGUUUGUCGCGUCGGCUGUGAAAGCCCGGAGCUCAACUCCGGGUCUGCAGUCGAUACGGGCAGACUUGAGUGUUGCAGGGGAGACUGGAAUUCCUGGUGUAGCGGUGAAAUGCGCAGAUAUCAGGAGGAACACCGAUGGCGAAGGCAGGUCUCUGGGCCAUUACUGACACUGAGAAGCGAAAGCAUGGGGAGCGAACAGG